rfam:Thermoactinomyces sp. DSM 45891 genome assembly, contig: Ga0066384_102
UAACCUAGACCGAAAGGUUUAGCUGAACAUGCAGAAGUCAGCAGAUGCCAUAGUACCUGAGUAGAGGACGCUUGAAAAGGGAAGGGC